GACGAACGCUGGCGGCGUGCUUAACACAUGCAAGUCGAACGGAAAGGCCCUGCUUUUGGGGUGUGCUCGAGUGGAGAACGGGUGAGUAACACGUGAGUAACCUGCUCUUCACUGGGGGAUAACUUCAGGAAACUGGGGCUAAUAGCGGAUAGGAGCUCCUGCUGCAUGGGGGGGGUUGGAAAGUUUUGUCGGUUGGGGAUGGGCUCCCGGCUUAUCAGCUGGUUGGUGGGGUAGUGGCUUACCAAGGCUUUGCCGGGUAGCCGGCCUGGGAGGGUGACCGGCCACAUUGGGACUGAGAUACGGCCCAGACUCCAAGGGGAGGAAGCAGUGGGGAAUAUUGCACAAUGGGGGGAAGCCUGAUGAAGCAACGCGGCGUGCGGGAUAACGGCCUUCGGGUUGUAACCCGCUUUCGCCUGUGACGAAGCGUGAGUGACGGUAAUGGGUAAAGAAGCACCGGCUAACUACGUG
rnacentral:rRNA from 1 species